GACAGAGGGUGCAAACGUUGUUCGGAUUUACUGGGCGUAAAGCGCGUGUAGGCGGCUUUGCAAGUCGGAUGUGAAAGCCCACGGCUCAACCGUGGAAGUGCAUCCGAAACUGCAUGGCUGGAGUCUCGGAGAGGAAGGUGGAAUGCUUGGUGUAGAGGUGAAAUUCGUAGAUAUCGGGAGGAACACCAGUGGCGAAGGCGACCACCUGGACUGAUACUGACACUGAGGUGCGAAAGCGUGGGGAGCAAACAGG
rnacentral:rRNA from 1 species